UCCCUGGUGGCUCAGUGGUAAAGAACCUGUCUGCCAGUGCAGGAGACAUAGGUUCAAUCCCUGAUCUGGGAA
rnacentral:tRNA from 1 species